rnacentral:rRNA from 1 species
CCUACGGGAGGCAGCAGUGGGGAAUAUUGCACAAUGGGGGAAACCCUGAUGCAGCGACGCCGCGUGAGUGAGGAAGUAUUUCGGUAUGUAAACCUCUUUUGUCGGGGAGCAAAAGACGCCACGCGUGGCGUUCCGAGAGUACCCGAAGAAAAAGCAUCGGCUAACUCCGUGCCAGCAGCCGCGGUAAUACGGAGGAUGCGAGCGUUAUCCGGAUUUAUUGGGUUUAAAGGGUGCGCAGGCGGAAGAUCAAGUCAGCGGUAAAAUUGCGGGGCUCAACCCCGUCGAGCCGUUGAAACUGGCAGACUUGAGUUGGCGAGAAGUACGCGGAAUGCGCGGUGUAGCGGUGAAAUGCAUAGAUAUCGCGCAGAACUCCGAUUGCGAAGGCAGCGUACCGGCGCCAGACUGACGCUGAGGCACGAAAGCGUGGGGAUCGAACAGGAUUAGAUACCCUAGUAGUC